AUACGUAGGGGGCGAGCGUUGUCCGGAAUGAUUGGGCGUAAAGGGCGCGUAGGCGGCCGCUUAAGUCUGGAGUGAAAGUCCUGCUUUCAAGGUGGGAAUUGCUUUGGAUACUGCCGCGCUUGAGUGCAGGAGAGGUUAUCGGAAUUCCCGGUGUAGCGGUGAAAUGCGUAGAGAUCGGGAGGAACACCAGUGGCGAAGGCGGGUAACUGGACUGCAACUGACGCUGAGGCGCGAAAGUGUGGGGAGCAAACAGGAUUAGAUACCCUGGUAGUCCACACUGUAAACGAUGAAUGCUAGGUGUAAGAGGUAUCGACCCCUUUUGUGCCGGAGUCAACACAAUAAGCAUUCCGCCUGGGGAGUACGGCCGCAAGGUUGAAACUCAAAUGAAUUGGCGGGG
rnacentral:rRNA from 1 species